GAUAAAAAGAAAAUAAAAAAGCAACCCAGCCCCAUCCCCUACCCAUUCUUCCCCAAUCCACCCCGACCAUCUCGCGCCGCCGGCCGGCCGGCAUCCACUUCUCCUCCCCAAGUGCGUCGCCUCCGGCCCGGACCACCACCCCCCUUACCAGUGCAUCGCCGCCUGCCUGCACCUCCUUCCCCUCUGAGUGGACAGCCGUCGGCUCGCACCUCCUUCCCCUCCCAAUGGACCACCGCCUAACUGCACUACCUCCUUGCAUCCUUCGGCGAUGUGCCGCACGAACCCCGCCUCCUCCAGCGAUGCGCCGCUCCUCCCUCCCACCGAACCCACCUCCUUCACCGCAUGGCCACACAACACUACUGCAAAUCCUGCCUCAUCCGCCGCGCAUCCACACAUCCCUGCCCAGAACCCUGCCUCCACGGCGUCGGCAUGCAUCCGCGCGCACCUCUGAUGGACCCGUGUUUCCUACUCCUUGUAUCCUUGCUGCCGCCUCUGCCCUCAAUCCUUGCCACCUUCAAGUUCUAACGACCGUUGGAGCUCGCCGGCAUGGAGUACAUAGCCAUCGGGCGUUGAACUUUUUGUUGUUGUUGUUUGAGAACUAAUGACGAUGCUGCAGCGAUAGCACCUUUCUUCAUUUUGCCUUGAUUUUGUGUCUCCACACUUUGCACAAUGUUUCUCUUUCUAUGAUUCAAUUGAAGUAAAAUAGUUAUGUUUCAGACAAAAUGCAUGUACUAGCAUACUCAAACUUUAGGGAUCCGGAACCCUCUAUGAACCGCCGUGGAUUUUUUGUGUGCAGAGGCCGGAGGAAGAGAAGACAUCAAUCAACACACACGUUCUGAAAAAUGUUAGAAAUUCAAGAGCUUUUUUGCACUUCACCUUUGUUAUAUUGUGGAGAACUUGGUCUGGAUUAUGAAGAUGCAGCGAAAAUGUCAGUUUGUGAUAAGAAGAAUGUUGUGAUUAAUAUUCUCACUUACGCUAUUAUGUAGAACUCGUGGAAGACACGAAACAUUAUAUACUUUGGUGGGUUGAUGUGGUUUGAAAUGCAGGUGAUGUGGUUGCGAUUGCGGCUAGGCUAAACUAGGGAAGAAGAAGAGAAAGAUAUCCAUCCACCUGUUAGGUCCAAGUACGUGAAACUCGCGCUGACGCAUCGUGUCCUUCUGCGUGCCGCCGAAGAAAAUGCUGCUUGACGGUGGCGGAGAGAGAACGUGGAAAGAGAAUGAGGGUGUCUGUAGUUUUGCAGACGGUCGAUAUCCCAAAAAUAUCGCUCCUUAUCGACAGCUGCUUGCGGUUGUACAUUCGCAUCAUCGGUAGUUUGCCCCAACGACACAGCCGAAAAAUAUCGCUCCUUAUCGACAGCUGCUUGCGGUUGUACAUUCGCAUCAUCGGUAGUUUGCCCCAACGACACAGCCGAACCGCCGAAUCUCGUGCUCCACAAGUCCAAAUAUGAUCGAUAUUUUCCUUGUAACAGACUCCAAAAGAGUUGGUCCAUUGUAAAGGGUAUUUUCAAUACUAUCUAGAGCUGACAUGAAGCGUUGUUAUAGAUAGUAGGUGUCUAUACUAAUGUACAUGCCCUUAGUCUAGCGAUUUCUUUAUAGCUCCACUUUUUGACUUUUA